rnacentral:rRNA from 1 species
GACGAACGCUGGCGGCGUGCCUAAUACAUGCAAGUAGAACGCUGAAGCGAGGAGCUUGCUCUUCUUGGAUGAGUUGCGCACGGGUGAGUAACGCGUAGGUAACCUGCCUUGUAGCGGGGGAUAACUAUUGGAAACGAUAGCUAAUACCGCAUAACAAUGGAUGACACAUGUCAUUUAUUUGAAAGGGGCAAUUGCUCCACUACAAGAUGGACCUGCGUUGUAUUAGCUAGUAGGUGAGGUAAUGGCUCACCUAGGCGACGAUACAUAGCCGACCUGAGACGGUGAUCGGCCACACUGGGACUGAGACACGGCCCAGACUCCUACGGGAGGCAGCAGUAGGGAAACGUCGGCAAUGGGGGCAACCCUGACCGAGAAACGCCGCGGGAGUGAAGAAGGGUGUCGGAUCGUAAAGCUCUGUUGUAAGUCAAGAACGGGUGUGAGAGUGGAAAGUUCACACUGUGACGGUAGCUGAUCAGAAAGGGACGGCUAACUACGUG